rnacentral:hammerhead_ribozyme from 1 species
CUCCAGCUGACGAGUCCCAAAUAGGACGGAAGGCUCAUACUGGAA